UUUAUGGAGAGUUUGAUCCUGGCUCAGGAUGAACGCUGGCGGCGUGCCUAAUACAUGCAAGUCGAGCGAACGGACGAGAAGCUUGCUUCUCUGAUGUUAGCGGCGGACGGGUGAGUAACACGUGGAUAACCUACCUAUAAGACUGGGAUAACUUCGGGAAACCGGAGCUAAUACCGGAUAAUAUUUUGAACCGCAUGGUUCAAAAGUGAAAGACGGUCUUGCUGUCACUUAUAGAUGGAUCCGCGCUGCAUUAGCUAGUUGGUAAGGUAACGGCUUACCAAGGCAACGAUGCAUAGCCGACCUGAGAGGGUGAUCGGCCACACUGGAACUGAGACACGGUCCAGACUCCUACGGGAGGCAGCAGUAGGGAAUCUUCCGCAAUGGGCGAAAGCCUGACGGAGCAACGCCGCGUGAGUGAUGAAGGUCUUCGGAUCGUAAAACUCUGUUAUUAGGGAAGAACAUAUGUGUAAGUAACUGUGCACAUCUUGACGGUACCUAAUCAGAAAGCCACGGCUAACUACGUGCCAGCAGCCGCGGUAAUACGUAGGUGGCAAGCGUUAUCCGGAAUUAUUGGGCGUAAAGCGCGCGUAGGCGGUUUUUUAAGUCUGAUGUGAAAGCCCACGGCUCAACCGUGGAGGGUCAUUGGAAACUGGAAAACUUGAGUGCAGAAGAGGAAAGUGGAAUUCCAUGUGUAGCGGUGAAAUGCGCAGAGAUAUGGAGGAACACCAGUGGCGAAGGCGACUUUCUGGUCUGUAACUGACGCUGAUGUGCGAAAGCGUGGGGAUCAAACAGGAUUAGAUACCCUGGUAGUCCACGCCGUAAACGAUGAGUGCUAAGUGUUAGGGGGUUUCCGCCCCUUAGUGCUGCAGCUAACGCAUUAAGCACUCCGCCUGGGGAGUACGACCGCAAGGUUGAAACUCAAAGGAAUUGACGGGGACCCGCACAAGCGGUGGAGCAUGUGGUUUAAUUCGAAGCAACGCGAAGAACCUUACCAAAUCUUGACAUCCUUUGACAACUCUAGAGAUAGAGCCUUCCCCUUCGGGGGACAAAGUGACAGGUGGUGCAUGGUUGUCGUCAGCUCGUGUCGUGAGAUGUUGGGUUAAGUCCCGCAACGAGCGCAACCCUUAAGCUUAGUUGCCAUCAUUAAGUUGGGCACUCUAAGUUGACUGCCGGUGACAAACCGGAGGAAGGUGGGGAUGACGUCAAAUCAUCAUGCCCCUUAUGAUUUGGGCUACACACGUGCUACAAUGGACAAUACAAAGGGCAGCGAAACCGCGAGGUCAAGCAAAUCCCAUAAAGUUGUUCUCAGUUCGGAUUGUAGUCUGCAACUCGACUACAUGAAGCUGGAAUCGCUAGUAAUCGUAGAUCAGCAUGCUACGGUGAAUACGUUCCCGGGUCUUGUACACACCGCCCGUCACACCACGAGAGUUUGUAACACCCGAAGCCGGUGGAGUAA
rnacentral:rRNA from 1 species